GACAGUGUGGCCUAGUGGUUUGAGUGUUGGACUGCAACUCUGGAGACCAGGGUUCGAUUCCCAGCUCGACCA